rnacentral:rRNA from 1 species
AUAAAAAACCAAUGCCCUUCGGGGCUCCUUGGUGAUUCAUAAUAACUUAACGAAUCGCAUGGCCUUGCGCCGGCGAUGGUUCAUUCAAAUUUCUGCCCUAUCAACUUUCGAUGGUAGGAUAGUGGCCUACCAUGGUGGCAACGGGUAACGGGGAAUUAGGGUUCGAUUCCGGAGAGGGAGCCUGAGAAACGGCUACCACAUCCAAGGAAGGCAGCAGGCGCGCAAAUUACCCAAUCCCGACACGGGGAGGUAGUGACAAUAAAUACUGAUACGGGGCUCUUUUGGGUCUCGUAAUUGGAAUGAGUACAAUCUAAAUCCCUUAACGAGGAACAAUUGGAGGGCAAGUCUGGUGCCAGCAGCCGCGGUAAUUCCAGCUCCAAUAGCGUAUAUUAAAGUUGUUGCAGUUAAAAAGCUCGUAGUUGAACCUUGGGUCUGGCUGGCCGGUCCGCCUCACCGCGAGUACUGGUCCGGCUGGACCUUUCCUUCUGGGGAACCUCAUGGCCUUCACUGGCUGUGGGGGGAACCAGGACUUUUACUGUGAAAAAAUUAGAGUGUUCAAAGCAGGCCUUUGCUCGAAUACAUUAGCAUGGAAUAAUAGAAUAGGACGUGCGGUUCUAUUUUGUUGGUUUCUAGGACCGCCGUAAUGAUUAAUAGGGAUAGUCGGGGGCGUCAGUAUUCAGCUGUCAGAGGUGAAAUUCUUGGAUUUGCUGAAGACUAACUACUGCGAAAGCAUUCGCCAAGGAUGUUUUCAUUAAUCAGGGAACGAAAGUUAGGGGAUCGAAGACGAUCAGAUACCGUCGUAGUCUUAACCAUAAACUAUGCCGACUAGGGAUCGGGCGGUGUUUCUAUGAUGACCCGCUCGGCACCUUACGAGAAAUCAAAGUUUUUGGGUUCUGGGGGGAGUAUGGUCGCAAGGCUG